GGAGGGGGCAGAGGGAACACGAUUCGGUCUGCAACACUUCGGAAGUCAAAAUAAGCUUGUUCCAUCCCAUUAGAGAAUAAGAGGUCUGUGUGCGCUCAGUCUUCAGAUACAUGACCCAAACUAUCAGUGGUAUGGAAAUGCUCGUGGUUUUUCUAGGAGAAGGAGAUGACUUGGAAGCACAAAGCAUUCAUGGAAACUAUGGAGCUUAGAUGACUCUCCAGCACCUCCAUCCAUACGUUGAAGCAUUGGAGGCUUAAAUAUUAAUGACAUAUAAGAAGACACAACUCUUGAGAAGCCAAGGGUUACUGUGGGGAUAAGCACCCUUCAAACAGAGGCACUAUAGCUUGCUUCUCUCUCCAUCCUACGAGGAGACAAUGGCAAGGUCUCCAAGUGACAACCAGGAAACAGAAUCAAAUCUGAUGGCACCUUUGUGGCUCUGUUCCUCCACAUGACUCGGCUGCUCAGGGAGGCAGGAUGCAGGAAGUUUGACCAGGUUUACCCCAUGCCAUCACUGGGUGGGUGUUAGGCUGUGAUGAAGCACUGGGACACGGCUCUGGAGUUGGGAAGGGCAGUCUGAGGGGCCAGACAGCCGGAGCUGGCGCAGGGGUCCCGGGCCUGCCAGGAGGCCUGGGCUGUCUGGUUCUCAGGCUCUUGGACAUCCAGGUGCUGCUAGAAGCCAUGGAACAGCUGAGAACUAAGUGGGGGUCUGCAGGCUGGAUCUAGCCAUGGGUGGGGAGAAAGGGGAAACUCCAGCUGGUCCCACGGUGAGGAGUUCUUGCUUGACAGCGGUGGGCUUGAACUUGGCUUGGUCAUGGCUGGAAGCAUAGAGAGGCCUUCUAUGGGAGAUUAGACUGCAGUUCUAUAGGCAAAGUCCUUCUCCAUGGCUCCCCACUGAGGAUACCAAUGAAAAGAUGCAGUCCAUGGUUUUACGACAUUUAUUGAUGGAAUGUCAUGAUGGAAAACUGGAUGUGUAAAUGGUUUUGCCCCACUUCUCAGGGUGGCCUGAGAUUAAAUACCUUUUUCAGAGAGGAGUAUCUAGGAAGGAAAGCUUAUUGGCUAAGCCCUCCAGGCCUUAAGGUACCUCGUUAAAAUCUGUCUUGAGCCUUUGUGACCACAGGCAUGUCCUCUACCUGUGGAGGGGCUUGGGGUGUUGCCCUUAUGUGACUGAUGGCCGUAAAUCUAUGGGAGACUGUGUCUAGUGACGGGCCUGGUGUGCGAGAACAGGCACAGCACCUACUGUCUCUUCAGGGUCUCCGGGUCCUCAAGCCUUAGCUCAACCGGGAUCCAAGCUACCUUUCACUGUCCCACACCCUUGACAUUGGAAUUCUCUGCUGCAGAACUAAGACCAAUACUUGCCAUUUAGGUUUCUUGGUCUAGAUAGCAUUAGCUAAGUGAGGCAGAGAGGGGAGGAACCCCUGAGGAAGAGGGACAGCUGGGAUGCUUAAGUCUCGUAAGCAGGGGACUUCUUCUUUGGGUCCUUAGCUCACUGUCUUACCUCAUGUUCCCGAAGUAUUCAGAGCCACUGAAACUCAAGGGGUCUCACAUGUCGUCUGUCAUUUGUCCACAUUCGUGCACACGUCUCUUACUCUGCAAUGGCUCCUCUCUUCUCGCCACCACCACAGAUCAGAAUCAAAUCACACUUCUGCCUGCCUAACCCUGACAUCCUGAAGUCCAGGAAUCUUGAACCUCCCAAGAGAGUCAGUCCUAUUCGAGUGGCUGCUGCCAGUACCCUUGUGUGACUGUUAACCUGAAAGGCUCAGGACAGAGACUGUACCCUUUCUGUCGUCUCAACAAAUAGCACAGAGCCUAGUUCUUAGCACCUAGUCUCUGUGGAACCAGUGAAAUUUACUUUACUUGAAUCCUAAAGAAAAGGAAAUGAGGGGAUAGACUACAGAAAGUCCCACUCAGAAAAUCACAUUCAGACUUAAACCGGAGAGGCAUGGCUGAACAGGGGUAUUGAAGAUGAGAUGGCCAAGGCCAGACGCAGGGGAUAUGAGAAGUUCCAGACACACUGCCAAUGGGGAAGGGAUGAGGAGUAUGGGCCCAUAAAAAAGACAAAAUCCAGUGGGGCGACAUGAGGAAGAAUGGCUGUGACCUCCCUUUUGAGCAAUGAGUAAAAGAAUUGUUCACUGGAUGCAGAGAGGAGACCACCCAAUGGGCUUGGGAGCCAGUCUUCAGUUGAGUUUCACACUGGAGUAUUUUGCUUUUCCGUGGGAUGUCUCAACUUCACGAAAUUAAAAGCUAGGGUUUGGGGUUUGGGGGCCUGGAUCUUUUUUUUUUUUUUUUUUUUUUUUGCCCCAGUGGCAACUAUAAUUAGAGUUUUACUUGAGAUCAAGUUCCGACUCUGGAAAUGUGCCUCCCAUUUUUAUGACAUCACCGACCUUAAAAUGUACAUAACUGUCAUCAGGAGCAAGCAGAGCCCAGCUCGGCUUCGCUCGUCGCCUUUGUGAUUUCUUCACAAGUUCAAGUGUGAACUGGAAAGAAAUGAAAACCACAAAGCUAACGGACAAUGGCGGCCUGCCUCUUACAGAAUGCAACUUAAAUAUAGAUAUUGCAUCUCUACUGUUAUACAAGAUGAAAGAGAAUCAACAGUCCACAGUGCCUGAUAGUCUAGUCUUUUCCUUCCGGGUGGAGCUACUCAGCCACCUGUCCUAACAGCCAGGGCCACACUGUCCUUUCAGAAGGAGAGACAAGGAGCUGGAGAGAUGGCUCAUAGGUUAAGAGCACUGGGUGUUCUUCCAGAGGACCCUUGUUCAAUUCCUGACAACCACAUGGCAGUUCACAUCUGUCUAUAGCUCCAAGACCUGACACUCUUACACAGACAUACAUCUAGGCAAAACACCAAUGCACACAAAAUAAAAGUAAACACAUUACUUUUUUAAAAAGAAGGAUAACCAAGGCCCUCAAUGUAUCACGUUAAGGAGAGGAAGCAGAAUAUAAGGGGUGGCAUAUAAACAGGACAUUGGCAUGUGGAUAAUGACCAUCUGAACCUGAGGGCUGUCACAUACCCAUCCCCACCCAUCCAAUUACCAGCUAUGUGAAACAUAAAUAACACAUUGUAUAUCCUCUCUGGGACUCACUUCUUCUAUAAAAUAGAAUUU
rnacentral:lncRNA from 1 species